UCCUAUUUCUAGCAGGCACGCGUUUAUGGCGCGGCUUGAGCAGGCAGUAAGCUCUAACCUGUUAACAUGGGAGCCAAAAUAUAAACGGACGCCACGCAGCUGACACGCUCGCGCGGCGCCUUAACCGGCCUUAGGAAAACUCUGGUUUCACGUCUGCAUGUAUAGCAGCUAAACAGGGAAUGAAUCAUGAUUUGUUUGUUCGUCCUCCGUGUCAGCUAGCAUGUUUCAACCGGAAUUAUUACAGCUUGGUCAUUAGUUCUAGCUAUUUAAUCAGGGAACAGGAAAUGCUUUCAAAUUAUUUGAUUUAGUGUUAUUUUAUAUCCACACAACUUAUUUUGUCCAAGCAAAAGCAUUAGAUUGGGCAAAUGUUUACUAUUUCUAUUAUAAUUGAGUUAAUUUCAUUGAGCUUGGUGCUAAAAUUAUAAUUUCUUCUUUCCUGUCUAGAUUUUGUCAAGCAGACCAAAUCCCUGAAUGCAGUGGACCUGUAAGUACUGAACUUUUAGUGCUGAUAAGAGAGGCUAUUUGCUAAAGCAUUAUCGCCUGAAACAUGGGUCCCACGCUCGAUCCGCUUUCCCGUGCCUUCAUAGGGAAUGUCUUUGCACUUUUAAAACUUUCAAUUCACUCAAGGUACAUUUAGCAAAAUGGCACACUCAGAAAGAUCCAGGGAGAGUAGGUCAAACUGUAUUUCACUGUCAGCUGUGUGAUUUUAUGGAGCCUUGCAAUGAGAAUGAAUUUUUCACACAUUUGCGAAGACAUCUGAAGUUAAAGCAAAUAGUUGUUUGUCCAUAUCAAGACUGUAACUUCAGGAGCAAUGUUUAUUCCACCUUUAAUGCGCACAAAAGCAAAGAGCAUCAACAUGAGAGGCCAUUCAAACCUGAAAUCGUUUCUGAGAUUAGAGACAGUGUACUUUCCGAACCGGCUGGUAAUUUGGAUGUUCAACUUGUAAACGAUGCAACUGAAACUGAUAUUGAGUUAGAUGUUUCUGAGGUUGAUGAAGAUGUGGGUGACUUGGAAAGACAGUUAGAACAUAAUAUAGCUGCUCUAUUUCUGAAAAUGUCAGCAAUUCUCAAUGUCACUGAAAAUGCCUUGCAAGAUGUGAUAGAGCAGAUCAACCAAAUGUAUUUGCUGUCACAGCACUUGUUGCGAUCCUCAGUUCAAAGAGUACUGCAGCAGCAUUUUGGAGAUGUUGAUGAGACUUUAGUGAGUAAGAUAGUGAGAGCAGUUACUGAGAGUAAUGUAUUUCUCAAAGUCACUUCUACUGGAGGUUCACUCUCAACUGUUAGCAACCGUGCAUCAUUCAUUUUAAGGGAAUUCUCUGUAGUAAUGCCUGAGGAGCUUCUUCUAAAAAACAAGCAGACAUUUGUGUAUGUUCCCAUUCUCAAAAUGCUCCAGACAUUGCUUAACAAUGGAGAUGUGUUAGAUAAGGCCAUGGCAGCAGAGACACAUGUGUCACAGGGAUACAGGUCUCACAGGGACGGUUCCCUUUUCAAAGAGAAUUCUCUUUUCUCUGAGGAAGAGUUCAGAAUUUCGCUUUUCUUGUACAUUGAUGAUUUUGAAAUGUCAAACCCUUUGGGGUCAUCUAGAAAGAAGCACAAGCUAUGUGCCAUCUACUGGGUGCUUGGCAAUCUCCACCCAAAAUAUCGCUCCACACUUCAUGUCAUUCAGCUUGCAGUGCUUUGCAAGGUUGACUCCAUCAAGGAAUAUGGCUAUGAUGAACUUCUUCGCUGUCUUGUUAAGGAUGUUGUCUCUCUUGAGCGUCAAGGUGUGUACGUCGAGCAGUUAGGAGCUAGCGUUAGAGGCACUGUAUCAUUUGUUGCUGCAGACAAUCUUGCUGCUCACUCGUUGGGAGGAUUCUUUGAAAGCUUCACAUUUAGUCACAUGUGUCGUUUCUGUAUGGCCACACGGGAAGGAAUACAACACACAGAAGUGCAGUCAGGUGCAUUCCAACAAAGGACAAAAGAAAACCAUGAUCAUCAGGUGCAAGAGGUAUUGAAGGAUGAAACCAUGGCUCCAGAGUAUGGUGUAAAAAGAAGCUGCUUGUUGAGUGAUAGCUUAGAAUACUUUCAUGUUAUUAAUGGUUUCUCACCGGACCUUUUGCAUGAUCUCUUGGAGGGCAUUGUUCCUUUUGAAUUGGCCUUGUGUUUAAAGGCAUUGAUAGCAAAAGGAUACUUCUCACUUCUUAAUUUGAAUAUGGCCAUCAAACAGUUUCCUUAUUCGUUUUCUGACAAAACGAAUCAGCCUCAGGUCAUCGGCAAAACAUUUGCCUCAAAGGGCACAAUUGGGGGAAAUGGCCACGAAAAUUGGGCACUUCUUCGACUGCUACCUCUCUUGAUAGGCCAUCUCAUCCCAGAGAGUGAUGAGACUUGGGAAGUGUUGAUGCACUUAAAAGAUGUAGUGGAGUUGUCAAUGUCCAUAGGAUUCACAGAGGAGUCUGUGUACUUUCUGCAGUGCAAAAUUUCAGAACACAGAGGUGCAUUUCAAAGAGUGUUCCCUGACAAAAAACUACGACCUAAGCACCACUAUGUAGAACAUUACCCUGAGCUCAUUAAAAUGUUUGGACCUCUGUCUCAUGUGUGGACGAUGCGCUUUGAGGGGAAACACAAAUUUUUCAAAAAAGCGGUCCGUCACACCAACAAUUUCAAGAACAUAGCCCUCUCUUUAGCUGUAAGGCAUCAGAAAAUGAUAUCAUUCCAUCUAGCUGCAACCUCCUUUUUUAAGCCAUCCAUCGAACUUACCAAAGUGAAGUCUGUGAUGGUGUCUUCAUUUCCAGAAAAUGUCCAGAACUCACUCUAUGAAAUGAAUGACCGGCAAAGCACAGUCCUUGUGGCGUCUUCUGUAUGCGUAGACAGCGUUAAGUACAGUGCAGACAUGGUGGUUUCUGUUGGUUCUUGUUCUGGGCUCCCAGAUUUCAGAAUGAUAACAAAGAUUGUGGUGAUCAACACUAACGUUGUGUUUGUCUGCAGACUUAUGAAAGCGUGGUACAACGAACAUCUUAGGGCAUAUGAACUGUGUGGCGAUCAUAUAUCCACCUUCUUGGUCACCCACUUAAGGGAACUGAAUGACGUUUUUCCCCUAUCAGUCUACAGCAUUAGAGACAGGCAGUUGGUUACACUUAAAAGGUUUAUCUUGUGCUAAGUAAUGUUGGAAACAAAUCUAACUUUUCUUCUUUUUUUUUACAGCCUCAUUAGAAUGGCUCAAACAUUAUUACUCCGAGUCAUCAUAAAUGAAGAUGACAUCCGAAAGAUUAAAAUCAAUGAAAGACCGCAGGAUGUGGAAGAGCUGAAAAGCCGCCUAAAAGAUGAACUACAGCUCCAGUAUGACUUUCACAUCCAGUAUGAAGAUCAGGAUUUUGAUCAAACUUUGUGUAACUUAACUAAUAUGACAGAGUUGUCCAACAAAGCGACACUAAAAAUUAUCCCCAUGGUCACACUAAAUCUAACCUCCAUUACAUCACCUGUGUCAACAUCAGUGUCUGGCAGUGAAACAGACACUUUGUCGCCACCAGAAUCACAUUUCAACCAUGCAAGACAACAAUGGCCACAGAUUUUUCCAAUUCCAAAUUUUUCUGUUGACGUGAAUCACAAAUUGAGGCAAGCAGAUCUUGAUUACUUAAAUAAUGGUACUCGGCUGGUUCCGUCACGCGACGUGAAGCAUGACAUCCUUGAAAAAAUUUCCGAAGCCAUUUAUUCCUUCAAGGCUUACCCUACAGAUGAGCAGUUUACUGAUGUGGCAAAGGCCUUGAUCUCUAAGCACCCAAGCCUUACUGAACCUGGGACCCAGACAUGCUGGUAUGGCUGGAAAAGCAGCCUCAAAUUUAAGAUGGGAAAUUUACGUACUAAAUUAAGAAGGGCUGGGUUGGAAGAAAUUGCUAUCAAUGGCAGUAAGAGAAGCAAAGUCAACCCGGGAGGAGACCAUCCUUCAAAAAAUAUCAAAAGACCAAAAAGAGGUGAGGCAAACUACCUGCCAAACAUGCCCAAAGGAAAAACUGAAGCAAACCUCGAAACAAUUAGAAACAAUCUAGUUGAAGAAUUAAAAAAGAAAAAACCAAAUGGAAUCAUGAUUCUGCAAAUAAUGGAUCAAACAUUCCCGAUGCAACGAAGGGAGAUCGUCAGAGAUGAGCCUGAUGUACGGAGCUUGGUGGACCGAUGGCCGGCUCUCUUCACCAAAGGCCAGGUUUGUGCUGAGUUCAACAGAGUAGCAAGCAAGAAUCUGGAAGGAGAUUUCUUUGAGGCGCUGGACCAGCUCAUUCCGCGUUCUUUGCAACUUUUCAAGGACCGAAAAGGGGCCAUUGGGCAGAAGUUGACAGAACUCAUGCAGGACAUCAACUUUGUACACACUGUGACAGAUGGGGCCAUUGCAUCGGUGACUGUUGGUGUGCUCACUGUUCUUGGGGAGAUGGACGGCGAACCUCUUCCGGGUCCAAGCUCGUUGGAAUUGCAGCCCAGGUCCCAUGCAAUUAUCCUUGAGGGAAGUAUUGUGAUGGACAAUAUUCCAGACUUGCCCCUGGCUGUUUGCCUCCUGUUUGGCCUCACAUAUGCUUUACAUCUCGAUUAUCCCAAAUGCAUGUCAAAUACCCUGAGAUUCAUUCAGUCAGCCAUGCUGGGAUUGGGAAGCAAAACCCUCCCACCGAAGUUGCUGAGUCUGAAAAAUGACCUACUGAGAUAGAUUUUAGCCACCAGACUGAUAUGUUGGAUGAAUCCAACCUCAAGGUUAUUACAUCUUAGGUUUGGGAGAUUUGAGACCUUUGUACCUAAAUAGGAAUUUCUUAAUAGCCUACUUUUGAUGGUAGCCACACACUGUUUAAUCUUCUCAGUUAAAUCCUUACUCUUAAAGAAAAAUCGAAAUAUACAGUAGGCAAGUAAAAUGCACUUUUUUGAUUAUUGUGAAAUAUAAGUGCUCUUGUCUUUUAUGUUAAAGGUGACUGUUAAGUUCUACGGUUUUAUGACAUGGUUGGGUCUUUAAAAUAACACUCGAUUGCGCUUCGGAGUCUUUUAUUAUAAGAGUCAUUUUCAUACUUUUGGUGUUAACACCUUAUGUCUGCGAUGCCCUACUGAGAUAGCUUUUGGCCACUAUACUCGUGUUGGAUGAAUCCAAUUUCAAAAGGAUUUCAAUCCUUAACUUUGGGGAGAUUUGAGACCUUUGUACCUAAAUAGGAAUUUCUUAAUAGCCUGCUUUUGAUGGUAGCCACACACUGUUUAAUCUUCUCAGUCUCUCUCUCUUUCUUAAAGAAAAAUCUAAAUAUAAAGUAGGCAAGUAAAAUGCAAUUUUUUGAUUAUUGUGAAAAAUAUGUUAAAGGUGACUGUUAAGUCCUAUGGUUUUAUGACAUGGUUGGGUCUUUAAAAUAACACUGCGCUUCUGGGUCUUUUAUUAAGAGUCAUUUUCAUACUUUUGUUGUUAAUAACACAACUCCAGGCAUUUUCCUUGUUUAGUCUUCUUAGUUAAUGUCCCAGUCUUAAUGGAACACAGCGACUUAUUGGGAAUUUAGCUUAUUCACCGUAAC